rnacentral:rRNA from 1 species
AAGACCUUGCGCUUUUGGAGCGGCCGAUGUCUGAUUAGCUAGUUGGUGAGGUAAAGGCUUACCAAGGCUUCGAUCAGUAGCUGGUCUGAGAGGACGACCAGCCACACUGGGACUGAGACACGGCCCAGACUCCUACGGGAGGCAGCAGUGGGGAAUUUUGGACAAUGGGGGAAACCCUGAUCCAGCCAUGCCGCGUGAGUGAAGAAGGCCUUCGGGUUGUAAAGCUCUUUCAGCCGGAAAGAAAUGGUUACGGUUAAUACCCGUGACUAAUGACGGUACCGGAAGAAGAAGCACCGGCUAACUACGUGCCAGCAGCCGCGGUAAUACGUAGGGUGCAAGCGUUAAUCGGAAUUACUGGGCGUAAAGCGUGCGCAGGCGGUUUUGUAAGUCAGAUGUGAAAUCCCCGGGCUCAACCUGGGAACU